AGCGAGGUAGGGGGUAACUUUUCCGCAAUGGGCGAAAGCCUGACGGAGCAAUGCCGCGUGGAGGUGGAAGGCCUACGGGUCGUCAACUUCUUUUCUCGGAGAAGAAACAAUGACGGUAUCUGAGGAAUAAGCAUCGGCUAACUCUGUGGCAG
rnacentral:rRNA from 1 species